UAACUGUCUCGGGUAACUGCGGAUCCUUGGAUCUGAGGAAAGUCCGAGCUCCAUAGGGCAGGAUGCUGGAUAACAUCCAGGGGGGGCGACCCCACGGAAAGUGCCACAGAAAAGAAAACGCCGGAUAUAUUAUCAGGAAUGUUUCAAACCUUCCAGUACAUUAUAUCAGGCAAAGCUGAAAAGGUGCGGUAAGAGCGCACCAGCGGUCGAGGAAUCGAUCGGCUUGGAAAACCCCAUCCGGAGCAAGGCCAAAUAGGGAAGUUAUAAAACGGCCCGUUUUACUUCCGGGUUGGCUGCUGGAGAUGUCGGGUAACCGGCAUCCUAGAUAAAUGGUUACCACCCUUAAGGGCACAGAACUCGGCUUAUAGAGACAGUUAUUCA
rnacentral:RNase_P_RNA from 1 species